rnacentral:rRNA from 1 species
UACGAAGGAUGCAAGCGUUAUCCGGAUUUAUUGGGUUUAAAGGGUGCGUAGGCGGACUUAUAAGUCAGUGGUAAAAUCUCGUUGCUUAACAACGAACGUGCCAUUGAUACUGUAGGUCUUGAGUACAGAUGCCGUUGGCGGAAUGUGUCAUGUAGCGGUGAAAUGCAUAGAUAUGACACAGAACACCGAUUGCGAAGGCAGCUGACGAAACUGUAACUGACGCUGAGGCACGAAAGCGUGGGGAUCAAACAGG